AUACGGAGGAUCCUAGUGUUAUCCGGAUUUAUUGGGUUUAAAGGGAGCGUAGGCGGGAGGUCAAGCCAGCUGUGAAAUGUAUCUGCUUAACGGGUAAACUGCAGUUGAAACUGGUUUUCUUGAGUGCGUAAGAGGCAGGCGGAAUUAGUUGUGUAGCGGUGAAAUGCUUAGAUAUGACGAGGAACUCCUAUUGCGAAGGCAGCUUGCUGGGUCGUUACUGACGCUGAGGCUCGAAGGUGCGGGGAUCAAACAGGAUUAGAUCCCCUGGUAGGCCGCACAGUAAACUAUGGAUACUCUCUGCCGGCGAUAUAUUGUCGGUGGCCAAGCGAAAGCGUUAAGUAUCCCGCCUGGGGAGUACGUUCGCAAGAAUGAAACUCAAAUGAAUUGACGGGG
rnacentral:rRNA from 1 species